rnacentral:lncRNA from 1 species
UAAAGCAUUAAUUCAAACAUGAUUAUUGUUUGCUUGUGUCCUGGUGAAUAAAACAUUUAAAAAAGACAAUGGUCCGGCUACUGUUGUGACAUGAAUGCCUGUGAAUGAGGGAGGAUUUAGGAGCCUCUGUGGGAUCAGUAAUGUGAGCUCCGAUUCUUGUUAGUCUCCCCAGGUUUAGUUCACCCCAUCAACCUGCAAUUCUACCUACUCAAGCCUGAACCGCCCGCCAUGCAUGAUGAAGGAAAACACAGGAAUAAUGCCCCCAAAGAACCGAAAAGUAUGAAGUUUCGGCACUAGCAGCCCUGUAGGUGCAGAUUUAUAUUUCCCAAAAUGAGAAUACAAGAAAAAAUGCCCAGUGUGAUUGAAACCAAGUUGGGUUAGUAAAGAAGGGAUCCUGCAGCAUUGGGCUCACAGGCCCUGGUUGGUCCCACGGCUGGAUUUAUGGCCAGGGAAGGCUCAACCACCAGCAAGCUCCUCAUCCCCUCCUGCCUGGGAACACGGCCUUUAGAUGUCCAGAAGCAAUGGAGCAGUGCUCUCUCCUGUCAGGUAACUGAAAGAGCUUUACUUUGAGGAUUGCAGCUGCCCUUUUUCUUCAGUGUGCAUGGG